AUUGAACGCUGGCGGCAUGCCUUACACAUGCAAGUCGAACGGCAGCACGGGAGCAAUCCUGGUGGCGAGUGGCGAACGGGUGAGUAAUGUAUCGGAACGUGCCCAGUCGCGGGGGAUAACGCGGCGAAAGCUGGGCUAAUACCGAAUACGUACUGAGUAAGACAGCUGGGGAUCGCAAGACCUCGCCCGAUUGGAGCGGCCGAUACCGGAUUAGGUAGUUGGUGGGGUAAAGGCACACCAAGCCGACGAUCUGUAGCUGGUCUGAGAGGACGACCCGCCACACUGGGACUGAGACACGGCCCAGACUCCUACGGGAGGCAGCAGUGGGGGAUUUUGGACAAUGGGCGCAAGCCUGAUCCAGCAAUGCCGCGUGCAGGAUGAAGGCCUUCGGGUUGUAAACUGCUUUUGUACGGAGCGAAACGGCUUCCACUAAUACUGGGGGCUAAUGACGGUACCGUAAGAAUAAGCACCGGCUAACUACGUGCCAGCCGCCGCAGUAA
rnacentral:rRNA from 1 species